rnacentral:tRNA from 1 species
GCGGCUGUAGCUCAAUGGAUAGAGUAGCUGACUACGAAUCAGUUGGUUGCAGGUUCGAAUCCUGCCUGCCGCA